UGGCAUGUGUGAUUUUAUCGUUUACUUAUCUUAAAUGUUUGUUUUCAAGUUGUUUUAUUUUUUUUCUUGUUGACUUUCAGUUUGUUACAGUUAAUAUUGGCUUCUUUCUCAAUUUUUGAAAAGACAGCAUUUAAGCACAAAAUUGUGGCAGGCACAAACAAGAUUAAAUCAGCUGGGUCUGGUGCUUUCAUGGUCUGCUAGAAUUACACUUCUGGAUAGUAUCCAGGCAACAUCUGAGAAAUUGAUUGCUGAGAACUUAAAGAAGAAUCCAUUGAUAAAAGUUACUGGAGACAAUCUGGAUAUAUAUGUGAAAACAUCUCACCUGAGUAAGGACAGACAGCAUAAAGAUUUACAUUUAUUCACAAGUUACAUCAUAUUCAGCAGAGUGGCAACUGUUGACAUGAGCAAUGUUGCUGCAUGCUUAUGGUGUACUGCUUUCAAGAAUACUAUGCAAAAUGCCUUCAUUCAGACAGUCCAAGAAACCUUUUCCCAAUCAUCUACCUCAUGAAUUCAGUGAGAAGAUGUCUAGAAAGUCUGUGGUCCAUCAACUACCAAUCAUGUUCAAAAACGAAUCCAAACAUGAAGAUUGCAUGGCAAUUAUGGAUGCUUGUAAACCUUUACAGUGCUUCAUUCGGUAUGUAAAUACAGGAUUACACACCAUAUACCUGGAGUUUAAUUUAAACUUAUUUAUUUUACAUCCAUUGUAGAGCAAGUUUUUACAAUUUAUGUUAACUUCUCACAUUGACUGCUUCCACGAGUUCUGACUAGUACUCAUGCAGAAAGAAGAGGUAUGACAGUCGCUGUCAAAGUCUCAUUGGCUUCAAAUACAAGACAGAAU